UACGAAGGGGGCUAGCGUUGCUCGGAAUCACUGGGCGUAAAGCGCACGUAGGCGGCUCUUUAAGUCAGGGGUGAAAUCCUGGAGCUCAACUCCAGAACUGCCCUUGAUACUGAGGAGCUUGAGUCCGGGAGAGGUGAGUGGAACUGCGAGUGUAGAGGUGAAAUUCGUAGAUAUUGGGAAGAACACCGGUGGCGAAGGCGGCGACCUGGUCCGAUACUGACGCUGAGGCGCGAAAGCGUGGGGAGCAAACAGG
rnacentral:rRNA from 1 species